AACUAAGCUAAGGGUAGCUAACAAAACAAAAAAAUACUACGUCGCAUAGUGUAGCGUUUUUAGCCUGUCGUCAAAAAGAUCUAAUUUAACGUUACACUUGACCCUACUAGCUAGCUAGACAGAUUUACACAUUCCAGCAUAUAUUUUGUUAAUUCAGUGUUUUGAGCUUUUGAGAAAAAAAUACAUUUUGUAUGUUAUUGUUCAUAAAACCGAUUGAUGGCGUCCUCGUUUGCGUGGACUACAGGGCGCUACCGUGUGACGUAUUUUUGUUACCUUACCUAGCCUUAUCUUAUAGCUAUUUUUUCGCAAAAGGAUGAGUGAUUGUUCGGUAUUAUGUAGUUGGUUGAUGGCGAUAACCGCUACGUAUAUUAUUAAGGGCACACAAAACAUGUGGAAAAGUUUAUUCAAUCACAAAAAAGCAAACUCAGUUUAUGUCGCAGGUGGUCAAAAUCUCAAUCCUCAAUUCAUUUUAAUAGCGAGUACCCCAGGUUGCACCCCGGGUGGGUGUGUUUUUUUACGUGCUACGUCACGCCGUAUGUCUCCAUACGCGGAUGUUUGGUUUACUCAUCAAACAGUUCAAACUAAGUCCCGCCUCUGACUGGGCAGAUAGCCAAUCAUAGUUUAGGAUAAUGGGGUGGCACCUGGGGUGGCCAAUCAGAUUCCAGGGAUGGCCCGUCCUACCCCAGGCCACUCCCUGGACAUGCCCCUGGGUUAGGGCUCUGGCUCCUGAAUAAUUUGUGCAGGAGUGGUGUGGCUUUCAGCUGGACUGUAUUAAGUUCCCAGAACUCAAACUGUAACGUGCAACCCGUGAGAUUCUGACAUGGCAUCAGACGAACCUCGCCACAACAUUCUAUCACUACUGGAUCCUGCUGGUGUCGGACUACUUCUACGCCUACCUGCGGAGGGAGCACCACCUGGCGCACGGGCUGUACCUGAAACGCAAGGACGGGAGCGAGGCCACGCUGGUGCUCAAGUAGAUCUGGGCGUGGCGGUGGGCGUAGCCAUGGGCGUGGCUCUGACAUCGCCACAGCGCUCGACUCCUCCGGGCUUUCAUUGUAAGAUACGUCUGUUUGGCUUUGUUCUGCGGAGCUGCUCCUCAUAGACCAAAGUCUCGGAAUUCUGAGGGCACUCUGGAUGGAAGCUGUGAAGUUCAUGAGCCAAGAAGCACUGUAGGACCCAUGCCCUCCUGCAGACUACUGGAGGAUUGUGGGAUUUGUAGUCUUAUCCUAUUUUUUUGAUCUUUGCAUCUGCAUCUUUCACUAUGAUUUUGGAAAGGACCAGCAAACUCUCUCUCUCUC